UACGUAGGGUGCAAGCGUUACUCGGAAUUACUGGGCGUAAAGCGUGCGUAGGCGGUGAGCUAAGUCUGUCGUGAAAGCCCCGGGCUCAACCUGGGAAUGGCGAUGGAUACUGGCUCGCUAGAGUGCGGUAGAGGAGAGUGGAAUUCCCGGUGUAGCAGUGAAAUGCGUAGAGAUCGGGAGGAACAUCAGUUGCGAAGGCGGCUCUCUGGACCAGCACUGACACUGAGGCACGAAAGCGUGGGGAGCAAACAGG
rnacentral:rRNA from 1 species